UACGGGGGGGGGCAAGCGUUGUUCGGACUUACUGGGCGUAAAGGGCUCGUAGGUGGCCAACUAAGUCAGACGUGAAAUCCCCAGGCUCAACUUGGGAACUGCGUCUGAUACUGGAUGGCUUGAAUUCGGGAGAGGGAUGCAGAAUUCCAGGUGUAGCGGUGAAAUGCGUAGAUAUCUGGAGGAAUACCGGUGGCGAAGGCGGCAUCCUGGACCGAGAUUGACACUGAUGAGCGAAAGCUAGGGGAGCAAACGGG
rnacentral:rRNA from 1 species